GAUUUUUUUCCCCCCACGUUUUAUCUGUCUCAACACAGUGACAGUUUUAACAAAUAUGUGAAAAUCAUAUUUUUCUCAACGGUACAUACUGCAGGACUGUACCGUUUAAGGACUGUAAAUACAAGGCACUGUGUACAUUAACAUGCAGAAGCUAGUGAGUUAUUUUUUAAUGUAGCCACUACAUUUUCACAAAGCUUGCGCCAGACAUCUGGUGUCACAGCACAGCUUGCGCAGAAGAUCAAUGUAAGCUAGUCACCAUUCAGACACUUUUAAACAUCUUCUACAGCAUGUCACCACAACAUGAUAUUUCUUCUUCUGCAGUCUUCUGCAGCGCCUCGCAGAGAGGAGGGUCUUUCGCCGGCUGCAGUCACUUGGGGUGAGUGAAUCCCCAGGCUGGAGCUACAAAGACUAAGCCACACAUGCACAGUGAGAUUCUCAAGUCUUCGUACAGGCCUGAGGUCAAAUCAGGAUAGUAACUGCUGGGAUGCUACAGCUCAGCAGAGAAGUGUAGCUAAAAACAGGAAAACGUAAUCAUUAUGUUGGUACUAGGAAGAUGUUGUGAUCUAACUAUUCAGGCCAUUGGAGACAUUGCAUGCUACAACAAGCGCAAAUAUUCAUGCACUCCACAAAUCAGGUCAGAGAGACAGGAAAGAAAGACGAAAAGAAUUCCCAUUUAAGCCAAACACGUGGAAGAAGGUGCUCUUGUCACAAGAUGAGAUUGAAAUUGAAUCUCAUCUUGUGAACACACUCACUGAGGUAGUGGCAAAAAAGGAGUUGAUAGGAAGGAAAUGGAGUUGAAGACAAGGGCAUUUGCCUCUAUUUAUAGCCAUAGCUACAAUGGAAUUGUUCAGAUCUAAGCAUAUUUAUAUCUUCAACACUGGCCUAGUCAAAGUCCAGACCUAGGCUUUUGCAACUUGGACAAGAGGUUGUGGGAAUCAAAGGUCUAUGUUUACAUCCGAGCGUUAAUAGUAUUGUAGAUUUCCCAAACAUUAUUUUUUUAGAGUGUGUAUAGCCCCCUACUGUAAGUGUAUAGGCUUUAAAGAGAGAAAACAUUCCGUAACAUUUUACAUUUGAAGAUGUUGCCUGUUAAUGUUUAAUUGGAUGUCUGUCAACUUGAAGUUCACGGUUCAAAAUUUCUACUUUCUCUUAACGGGAUUGGACAAGCAGGUGUCGUUUCCCAAUAACUUAACCUAUCAGGUUAGGGGGGCGGGACCUUGAUUCGGCGGCUUGGUGAAGAGAAGGUGAUAGUGGAAAAAGAUAAGAGUGACAUGGCGGCGCUGCACCGAAGAUUCUUUUUGUAGGUUUGAGCUGUUAUUUGUUUUAGUGUUAGUACUUUUAAUGUUACGUUUUGAUAUUAUUUAGUAUAAGAUGGAGACAAAAAUUACUCAAUGUCUGUGAAGUGUCUGUGUUUGUAAACUCUGUUAGGAAUGAGACAUGGACGUUGUUCUGUUAGCUUCAGCCGAAGCAUUACUCAUGGGCCAAAGGUUUCUGCACCGAGUUCUUAAAGUGGAAAUAUUGCAUUAGAAUGUAUUUUGGGCUUUGUAAUAUGUAUUAUGAGCUAAUUUGGGAUUUGUGUAAUGUCUUAAUAGUGGACUUAGAUGAGCUGCUCCUGAAACUGCGGCACAGGAUGCGCUCGCGGUCUCAGCUGAGGUUUAACUCCUUUCCACGUGCGGACAACGUGGAGACUUGAAGGAGGCUGAAACUUCAUUGGUCCGGACAACAGACCAACUAUCGACUGUCAGUUUUUAAGCUCUUGCCGCAGGAGACACGGGAAGGCUUCACUGGGGGAUUCUUCUCUACGGUGGUUUUUGGCUUCAUUGGGGAAAAGUAAAUAAAGGUCUUUUGGUCUAUGGGGAAAAGGCUUUUCUACCUUGACUCCUGGAGUUAGCCAUGACUGGAAGCUGCUUACUGCUAGCUGCUGGGGGAGUGGCUGAGUAUGGAUUUCAUACCCGUACCCUCUUGCUUCUGUUGAUUCUGGUUGCUAGGUAACGAAUAGCUGAGGCCGUUUUGGAUUGACACAUUUGUGAGGUGAAAAAUAAAGAUAGUU